AGAGUUUGAUCCUGGCUCAGGACGAACGCUGGCGGCGCGCCUAACACAUGCAAGUCGAACGAGCGAGAGAGAGCUUGCUUUCUUGAGCGAGUGGCGAACGGGUGAGUAACGCGUGAGGAACCUGCCUCAAAGAGGGGGACAACAGUUGGAAACGACUGCUAAUACCGCAUAAGCCCACGGCUCGGCAUCGAGCAGAGGGAAAAGGAGCAAUCCGCUUUGAGAUGGCCUCGCGUCCGAUUAGCUAGUUGGUGAGGUAACGGCCCACCAAGGCGACGAUCGGUAGCCGGACUGAGAGGUUGAACGGCCACAUUGGGACUGAGACACGGCCCAGACUCCUACGGGAGGCAGCAGUGGGGAAUAUUGCACAAUGGGGGAAACCCUGAUGCAGCGACGCCGCGUGGAGGAAGAAGGUCUUCGGAUUGUAAACUCCUGUUGUUGAGGAAGAUAAUGACGGUACUCAACAAGGAAGUGACGGCUAACUACGUGCCAGCAGCCGCGGUAAAACGUAGGUCACAAGCGUUGUCCGGAAUUACUGGGUGUAAAGGGAGCGCAGGCGGGAAGACAAGUUGGAAGUGAAAUCCAUGGGCUCAACCCAUGAACUGCUUUCAAAACUGUUUUUCUUGAGUAGUGCAGAGGUAGGCGGAAUUCCCGGUGUAGCGGUGGAAUGCGUAGAUAUCGGGAGGAACACCAGUGGCGAAGGCGGCCUACUGGGCACCAACUGACGCUGAGGCUCGAAAGUGUGGGUAGCAAACAGGAUUAGAUACCCUGGUAGUCCACACCGUAAACGAUGAUUACUAGGUGUUGGAGGAUUGACCCCUUCAGUGCCGCAGUUAACACAAUAAGUAAUCCACCUGGGGAGUACGACCGCAAGGUUGAAACUCAAAGGAAUUGACGGGGGCCCGCACAAGCAGUGGAGUAUGUGGUUUAAUUCGACGCAACGCGAAGAACCUUACCAAGUCUUGACAUCCCUUGACGAUGCUGGAAACAGUAUUUCUCUUCGGAGCAAGGAGACAGGUGGUGCAUGGUUGUCGUCAGCUCGUGUCGUGAGAUGUUGGGUUAAGUCCCGCAACGAGCGCAACCCUUAUGGUCAGUUACUACGCAAGAGGACUCUGGCCAGACUGCCGUUGACAAAACGGAGGAAGGUGGGGAUGACGUCAAAUCAUCAUGCCCUUUAUGACUUGGGCUACACACGUACUACAAUGGCGUUAAACAAAGAGAAGCAAGACCGCGAGGUGGAGCAAAACUCAGAAACAACGUCCCAGUUCGGACUGCAGGCUGCAACUCGCCUGCACGAAGUCGGAAUUGCUAGUAAUCGCAGAUCAGCAUGCUGCGGUGAAUACGUUCCCGGGCCUUGUACACACCGCCCGUCACACCA
rnacentral:rRNA from 1 species